UACGAAGGGGGCUAGCGUUGCUCGGAAUCACUGGGCGUAAAGGGCGCGUAGGCGGGCCUUUAAGUCUGGGGUGAAAUCCUGGAGCUCAACUCCAGAACUGCCUUUGAUACUGAGGAUCUUGAGUUCGGGAGAGGUGAGUGGAACUGCGAGUGUAGAGGUGAAAUUCGUAGAUAUUCGCAAGAACACCAGUGGCGAAGGCGGCUCGCUGGCCCGAUACUGACGCUGAGGCACGAAAGCGUGGGGAGCAAACAGG
rnacentral:rRNA from 1 species